CAGGAUGGCCGAAAGUGGUUAAGGCGUUAGACUUAAGAUCCAUUGGACGAUGUCCUUGUGGGUUCGAACCCCACUCCUGGUA
rnacentral:tRNA from 1 species